rnacentral:rRNA from 1 species
AUUGAACGCUGGCGGCAUGCUUUACACAUGCAAGUCGGACGGCAGCACAGAGAAGCUUGCUUCUUGGGUGGCGAGUGGCGAACGGGUGAGUAACAUAUCGGAACGUACCGAGCAGUGGGGGAUAACUAAUCGAAAGAUUAGCUAAUACCGCAUAUUUUCUGAGGAAGAAAGCAGGGGACCAUUUGGCCUUGCGCUGUUUGAGCGGCCGAUAUCUGAUUAGCUAGUUGGUGGGGUAAAGGCCUACCAAGGCGACGAUCAGUAGCGGGUCUGAGAGGAUGAUCCGCCACACUGGGACUGAGACACGGCCCAGACUCCUACGGGAGGCAGCAGUGGGGAAUUUUGGACAAUGGGCGCAAGCCUGAUCCAGCCAUGCCGCGUGUCUGAAGAAGGCCUUCGGGUUGUAAAGGACUUUUGUCAGGGAAGAAAAGGACAGGGUUAAUACCCCUGUCUGAUGACGUACCUGAAGAAU